rnacentral:rRNA from 1 species
ACGCUCGACACCUACGGGGGCAGCAGUGGGGAAUAUUGGGCAAUGGGCGCAAGCCUGACCCAGCAACGCCGCGUGAAGGAAGAAGGCCCUCGGGUUGUAAACUUCUUUUGUCAGGGACGAAGCAAGUGACGGUACCUGACGAAUAAGCCACGGCUAACUACGUGCUAGCAGCCGCGGUAAUCUGAGCGGGCUGGCAAGGC